UACGUAGGUGGCAAGCGUUGUCCGGAUUUAUUGGGUUUAAGGGGUGCGUAGGCGGUCCUAUAAGUCAGUUGUGAAAUACGGCAGCUUAACUGUCGAGGUGCAAUUGAUACUGCAGGACUUGAGUACAGACGAGGUAGGCGGAAUUGACGGUGUAGCGGUGAAAUGCUUAGAUAUCGUCCAGAACACCGAUAGCGAAGGCAGCUUACUAAGGAGUAACUGACGCUGAGGCACGAAAGUGUGGGGAUCAAACAGG
rnacentral:rRNA from 1 species